ACAUGCAAGUCGAGGGGUAACAGGGUAGCAAUACCGCUGACGACCGGCGCACGGGUGAGUAACGCGUAUGCAACCUGCCUAUAACUGGGGAAUAGCUCCCUGAAAGGGGAAUUAACACCGCAUAACACUAUUGAUUCGCAUGGAUUAGUAGUUAAAUGUAGCGAUACAGGUUAUAGAUGGGCAUGCGUGACAUUAGCUAGUUGGUGAGGUAACGGCUCACCAAGGCUACGAUGUCUAGGGGUUCUGAGAGGAAGGUCCCCCCACACUGGUACUGAGACACGGACCAGACUCCUACGGGAGGCAGCAGUGAGGAAUAUUGGUCAAUGGGCGCAAGCCUGAACCAGCCAUGUCGCGUGCAGGAAGACUGCCCUAUGGGUUGUAAACUGCUUUUAUAGUAGAAGAGACACAUCUACGUGUAGAUGUCUGCCAGUAUACUAUGAAUAAGCAUCGGCUAACUCCGUGCCAGCCGCGGC
rnacentral:rRNA from 1 species